CAGUAGCCACGGUAAUACGUAGGUGGCAAGCGUUGUCCGGAAUUAUUGGGCGUAAAGCGCGCGCAGGUGGUUUAAUAAGUCUGAUGUGAAAGCCCACGGCUCAACCGUGGAGGGUCAUUGGAAACUGUUAAACUUGAGUGCAGGAGAGAAAAGUGGAAUUCCUAGUGUAGCGGUGAAAUGCGUAGAGAUUAGGAGGAACACCAGUGGCGAAGGCGGCUUUUUGGCCUGUAACUGACACUGAGGCGCGAAAGCGUGGGGAGCAAACAGGAUUAGAUACCCCUGUAGUCCCUGUCUCUUAUAC
rnacentral:rRNA from 1 species